GCUCUUUUGUCAGGGAAGAAAAGGUUCUGGCUAAUAUCCAGAGCUGCUGACUCGCUCCCUGAAGUAUAAGCACCGGCUAACUACGUGCCAGCAGCCGCGGUAAUACGUAGGGUGCAAGCGUUAAUCGGAAUUACUGGGCGUAAAGCGUGCGCAGGCGGUUUUAUAAGUCUGAUGUGAAAUCCCCGGGCUCAACCUGGGAACUGCAUUGGAGACUGUAAGGCUAGAGUGUGUCAGAGGGGGGUAGAAUUCCACGUGUAGCAGUGAAAUGCGUAGAUAUGUGGAGGAAUACCGAUGGCGAAGGCAGCCCCCUGGGAUAACACUGACGCUCAUGCACGAAAGCGUGGGGAGCAAACAGGAUUAGAUACCCUGGUAGUCCACGCCCUAAACGAUGUCAAACUAGUUGUCGGGUCUUAAUUGACUUGGUAACGCAGCUAACGCGUGAAGUUGACCGCCUGGGGAGUACGGUCGCAAGAUUAAAACUCAAAGGAAUUGACGGGGACCCGCACAAGCGGUGGAUGAUGUGGAUUAAUUC
rnacentral:rRNA from 1 species